CACUUCUGAUUCAGUUACAUGUUACUCCUAGGAGCAUAUCAGAGUGUAUCUUUGGAACCCACGAGGUAUCUAUUCUGUUUUGCUCCCACGCCUCUGAUGCAUGGCGACGUCGUAUUUAUCCCAGGGAGGCUGCCUUCGCCAUCGGUGUUCCUCCGCAUAUCUACGCAUUUCUGCUACACGAAUUCCACCUCCCUCGGCACUUCUAGCUCGUGGAUACCAAAUGCAGUUCAAGUUAAGCUCUGGGAUUUAUUCACAUCUUUCUUUCCGAACCGCCUGCGCACGCUUGCGCUAAUAUUCCGAUUAACGCUUUCCCCUACGUAUUACCGCAGCUGCUGGCGUAGUUGUGAUGCUUAUUCUGCAGGAAAUGCCAAACAAAUUUGCACAGGAGUAUUAUCCCGUGCCGUUUUGCUUUCCUGCCAAAAGUGCUUUUUACUUGAAGGCGCUUCAUCACCACGCCAGGAUAACAGAUCCCCCAUUGUCCCAAAAUUCCCCACUGCUGCCCCGU
rnacentral:misc_RNA from 1 species